AUACAAAUCACCUGGAGAUCUUGUUAAAAUGCAGGUCCGCAUCUGUAAGUUCUGAAGUAGGGCCUAGGAUUCUGCAUUUCUAACAAGCUCUCAGGUAGUGAUGCU
rnacentral:pre_miRNA from 1 species